rnacentral:rRNA from 1 species
UACGUAGGGUGCGAGCGUUAAUCGGAAUUACUGGGCGUAAAGCGUGCGCAGGCGGUUCGUUGUGUCGGCGGUGAAAUCCCCGGGCUCAACCUGGGAAUUGCGUUGGAGACUGCAAGGCUGGAGUCUGGCAGAGGGGGGGUAGAAUUCCACGUGUAGCGGUGAAAUGCGUAGAGAUGUGGAGGAACACCGAUGGCGAAGGCAGCCCCCUGGGUCAAGACUGACGCUCAUGCACGAAAGCGUGGGGAGCAAACAGG